rnacentral:rRNA from 1 species
UCGUGGAGUGAUCUGUCAGGUUAAUUCCCUUAACGAACGAGACCCCAGCCUAUUAAAUAGUUUAAUUAAUAAUAAACAGUAAUGUUUAAUGUUUUGAUUUUAAAACUUCUUAGAGGGACACAGGUGAUUAAGCCAAAGGGAAGCUUGGGACUAAUACA